rnacentral:rRNA from 1 species
UAGGUGAACCUGCGGAAGGAUCAUUACAGAGAUUCCCUGCCCUCUUGGGUAGACCUCCAACCCCUUGCAUAUCAUACCAUUGUUGCUUUGGCAGGCCCGUCUCCGACCGCCGGUGUACUCUGGCCAGCGUCUGCCAGAGGAUCCAACUCUGAAUACAUGUUGUCCGAGCACUAUAAAAAAAGUUAAAACUUUCAACAACGGAUCUCUUGGUUCUGGCACCGAUGAAGAACGCAGCGAAAUGCGAUAAGUAAUGUGAAUUGCAGAAUUCAGUGAACCAUCGAAUCUUUGAACGCACAUUGCACCCUCUGGUAUUCCAGAGGGUAUGCCUGUUCGAGCGUCAUUGCAACCCUCAAGCUCUGCUUGGUGUUGGGCUCGGCCUCUGGGCCAGCCUCAAAGCAAGUGGCGGCACUGGUCGACCCUCAGCACAGUAAUAAUUCUUGCUCCUGGGCUCGAUCGGCUGCAUGCCAGCAAACCCCCAUUAUCAAAGGUUGACCUCGGAUCAGGUA